GUUGCCUACAGUUAGAUGCUCGGUUUCAUUUUCAACCAGGCGAAAGCAAAAGAAAGUGGAAAAAGUUGAGAAGGACCUGGAAUUCUUGAGGCCCUAGGUCCAGUUCCAGAAUCUAUAGACUACGGAGCACAGCUGGUCUCUUGGGGCCUUUCAGAAAUCUCCCAUCAAAUUUGCGGCAAGAGAAAUUGAGUGGAUGAUUUCUCCACAUUUCUUCAGAAGGAGGAGGGACUUCCAACAAUUUCUGAAAAACACACCUCCUCCCCUUUUUCACUGUUAUAGUGACCGAAGCACUUCCUGAUGUCUGCUCUUGGGAUCUGAAGAUGGAAGAGCCGGAAGCUGGGAGACUGCAGGCCACUGGAGAGAAGAUUAUACGAUGAAAUGCUGACUAGGAACCAAAUCACUGAGAAGAUUAUCUGCCUGAUCUGAAACCAGAAUGCUUGAAGAAACCACAGAUGCAUUCGUUCCACUGAAGUUGAGGCUUCCAAGGAAUUGCAUUUUUUUUUAAUUUCUUCCCUCAGGUUAAAUGAGCUUAAUUUCCCUAUCUUUAUUUUCAUUUGUAUACAGCUAAAUUUGUACAUCUGUGACUGGCUAUAUUAGCUGUUCAAGUGUAUCUGAGCAGGAACCAAUCCACCCCCCUCCCCAGAUCUCCAUAGCAACUUCAUCUGGCUGUUCCUCCUUGGUUACCAGUUUAAGAUAAUUAUUUAUGAAAUGAGCACUUUUUUUGUCUCUAGGGAAGAAUAUCUUAAAAAUCUAUUGCUCUGUAUUAUAAAACAAGCAGAUGACCCAA